AGGACUACAGCUCAAGGGUAGAGCAUCUGCUUUGCAUGCAGAAGGUCCCAGGUUCAAUCCCUGAUGGGGAAUCCUA